rnacentral:rRNA from 1 species
AAUAUUGGACAAUGGGGGCAACCCUGAUCCAGCCAUGCCGCGUGAGUGAUGAAGGCCCUAGGGUUGUAAAGCUCUUUUGUGCGGGAAGAUAAUGACGGUACCGCAAGAAUAAGACCCGGCUAACUUCGUGCCAGCAGCCGCGGUAAUACGAAGGGGGCUAGCGUUGCUCGGAAUCACUGGGCGUAAAGGGUGCGUAGGCGGGUUUUUAAGUCAGGGGUGAAAUCCUGGAGCUCAACUCCAGAACUGCCCUUGAUACUGAAGAUCUUGAGUCCGGGAGAGGUGAGUGGAACUGCGAGUGUAGAGGUGAAAUUCGUAGAUAUUCGCAAGAACACCAGUGGCGAAGGCGACCACCUGGGCUAAUACUGACACUGAGGUGCGAAAGCGUGGGGAGCAAACAGG